UACAGAGGGUGCAAGCGUUAAUCGGAAUUACUGGGCGUAAAGCGCGCGUAGGUGGUUCGUUAAGUUGGAUGUGAAAUCCCCGGGCUCAACCUGGGAACUGCAUUCAAACUGUCGAGCUAGAGUAUGGUAGAGGGUGGUGGAAUUUCCUGUGUAGCGGUGAAAUGCGUAGAUAUAGGAAGGAACACCAGUAGGCGAAGGCGACCACCUGGACUGAUACUGACACUGAGGUGCGAAAGCGUGGGGAGCGAAACAGG
rnacentral:rRNA from 1 species